UUUAAAUAGCUGCAGUAUUUUAACUGUACAAAGGUAGCAUAUUAAUUACUCUUUUAAUUGAGGUCUUGAAUGAAUGGUUUAACAAGAAAAGCACUUUAUUAUAUUAAUUAAAUUAAUUUAAUUUUUUAGUUAAAAAGCUAAAAUUUUUAAAUGGGACGAUAAGACCCUAUAGAUCUUUAAAUUUUUUAAAAUAAAUACAUUUCGGUUUAUUUAAUUUUCGUUUAAUAAAAAUUUUUUGUUGGGGUGACAUACAAAAUUUUUAAACUUUGUAAAAUAUCUACAUUAAUCAAUGAUUUUUUUUGAACCUAAAAUUUAGGUUAUUAAAAUAAGAUACCUUAGGGAUAACAGCGUAAUAAGUUUGUAUAGUUCAUAUAGAUAAACUUGUUUGCGACCUCGAUGUUGAAUUAAUUUUUAAUUUUGGAGCAAAAAAUAAAAAUUUUAGGUCUGUUCGACCUUUAAAAAAUUACA
rnacentral:rRNA from 1 species